rnacentral:rRNA from 1 species
UUUUGUCGACGGUGCGUGUCGGACUUCACUGGCCGGUGCGCUCUCUGUCGGCGAYGUUACUUUGAGGAAAUCAGAGUGCUCAAAGCAAGCGUUCGCUCGUGACUUCACUAGCAUGGAAUAACACAGAUGGGCUCUUUUUCGCAACGUUGGUCUGCGUCAACUGAGCAACGAUCGAUAGAGACGGUCGGGGGCAUUCGUAUUGCGCAGUUAGAGGUGAAAUUCUCCGAUCUGCGCAAGACGCACUAAUGCGAAAGCAGUUGCCAAGGACGUUCUCUUAUGAUCAAGAGCGAAAGUCGGGGGAUCAAAGAUGAUUAGAUACCGUCGUAGUCCCGACCAUAAAUGAUGCCAACUGAGCGUCGGCGACGCGGCUGUCAGCCGGACGUCGGCGCUCUUGAGAGAAAUUAAAGUCUUUGGGCUCCGGGGGUAGUAUGGUCGCAAGUCUGAAACUUGAAGGAAUUGACGGAAGGGCACCACAAGGCGUGGAUGUUGCGGCUUAAUUUGACUCAACACGGGAAAGCUUACUAGGUUUGGACACUUGAAUGAGGGACAUAUUGAAGCUCUUACCUUUUUUUGUGGAUGGUGGUGCAUGGUCGUUCUCAGCCCGUGGGUUGACCUGUCAGGUUUACUCCGGUAACGCGCGAGACCUCGGUUUGCUAAAUAGACACGGCUGUUUCGGCACCCGUGAUCUUCUUAGAGAGAGUCUUGACGAGAGUUGAGGGAAGUCGAGGCAAUAACAGAUCUGUGAUGCCCUUAGUUAUCGUAGGUCGCACGCGCCAUACAAUGUGGCGCACAACGAGUCUCCUAGGCCGACAGGAAUUCUCGUCGACGGCAGAUGCAUUGGUCCCGUGGGUUGGUGCAUCUACUUUUCGAAGUGGAUCGCCGACGCGCGGUCGAUCUCGCGACGCUGUCGCGAGAACUUCUGGGCAAUCUUGCAGAGCGCUACGUGACUGGGCUAGACUUUUGUAAUUGUUGGUCUUGAACGAGGAAUGCCUAGUAAUCGCAGGUCAUUAUCCUGAGAUGAUUCGGUCCCUGCCCUUUGUACACACC